GUGCUCAUUUUGGUAGCGCAUAUAAUAAAAUUUAGAAAUGAUACAGAGAAGAUUAACAUGGCUCCCGCGUAAGGAUGAUGUGCAAAUUCACGAAGUGUUCCAUAUGUUU